GACGAACGCUGGCGGUAUGCUUAACACAUGCAAGUCGAACGAGAAGUUUUUUAUUGAACCUUCGGGGGAUAUAAGAGACAGACAGUGGCGAACGGGUGAGUAACGCGUGGGCAACCUACCUAUCGGAGCGGGAUAGCCUCGAGAAAUCGGGAGUAAAACCGCAUAACACGGAUAUAUCGCAUGAUGAAUCCGUCAAAACUCCGGUGCCGAUAGAUGGGCCCGCGUCUGAUUAGCUAGUUGGUAAGGUAAGGGCUUACCAAGGCAACGAUCAGUAGCCGGUUUGAGAGGGCGAACGGCCACACUGGAACUGAGACACGGUCCAGACUCCUACGGGAGGCACAGUGGGGAAUAUUGCGCAAUGGGGGCAACCCUGACGCAGCAAUACCGCGUGAGUGAAGAAGGUUUUCGGAUCGUAAAGCUCUGUUAUUGGGGAAGAAGCAGGACGGUA
rnacentral:rRNA from 1 species